AUAAGCAAGAAAAUAAUAAUUUAAUCUUUUUCUGUUUUCUAGGUUCCCACACCAGAGAUCCGUGCACAUAGUUUGUAUUUUGAUCUGUCGGCGUACGGGAUCGACACUGUGAAGGAAUCACGCAGCUCCUCUCAGCCGGCAGCGAAGCCCGGAUUCCAUCUGAAGAUCUACGGGACGUUCCGGAACCGCUGCAUGGCUCUGGCCUGCACUUCGGAUGCAGACUCCAAAAUGAUGCAUUUCCUGCGCCACACAGCUAACUCUUCAAUCAUGAGGAACAUCUUCCACCAGUCGUUCAACGCGUAUAAAACAGACAUCGAGCCUCGUCUGAGUGAACUCACCCAGCACCACAUGCAGUGCAGCCGCAAGCUGUUCGAGAUCAUGCUGUCGUACAGACGCGUCAGCGCCGCUUACAUCGAAGAAGACAACGUCGCCGUGACUGUGGAAGGAGAAGCUGCGCGAGUGCUCAACUUUGACACUGGUUGUGGUGUGAAUCUGGGCAUGAGAGGACUGGAGUCACUGGGAAUGUUCAUCUACAGAACGGCCACGGCACUGGACCAGAAUGACGUGUUUGAGGCGCUCUCGGCCAAAAUCCAGCACUCCAGACACGUGGCAGAGACUUUCAGGAAGAGCGGACUGGCCUCGGCUGUGCUUGAAUGACCCUGAGUGUGUUUGUGUGACAGAGAAAGAGUGUGUGUGUGUUCUGAGGCGAGUUAUAAACUAGAACACGUAAUGCUUACAGAAUUAUGAUCUGUUUUGUGAUCGUUUUUUGGAAUGUUGAGUAUUGAAUGCACAUUAGAGUGGCCAAAGUUUGCAUUUAAUUUGUGGGGGGGAAAGUUUAUUGGUGUAAUGUGAUGGUAAAAUUGAUACGUUGCGUUUUUGAGUAGUUUAAACAUCUUGAUAAAAAUAAGAAUUGGAGACUGAUCCAGCCUAGAAUGACCACAAUCCUAAAGAAACCCUUACUGAAGAUACAGUGACCUUUAGACAUAUUUGGACACUUGCAAAAGUAUAAAAGCCACUGCAUUAGAUAAUAAAAUACCAAAGCAAGUGUCCUAAUCAGUGCAGUGUUAGCCUUAAAGGAAUAGUGCACCCAAAAAUAACAAUUUGCUGAAAAUCUACUCACCCUCAGCUCAUCCCAGAUGUAAAUGAGUUUGUUUCAUCAUCAGAUUUGGAGAAAUGUAGCACUACAUCACUUGCUCACCAGUGGAUCCUCUGCAGUGAAUGGGUGCCGUCAGAAUGAGAGCUGAUAAAAACAUCACAAUAAUCCACACCACCAAGAGAAAUCCACCAUUAAGGCAUUUUAACUUUAAACGGUCACUUCUGACCAAAAAUACGAGUCCAUAAUCCAUAAUAAUGCUUCAGCCAGUGAAAAAGUCCAUCUCCUGUUGUCCUCUCACAUCAAAAUCCACC
rnacentral:lncRNA from 1 species